GCUUAACACAUGCAAGUCGAGGGGCAGCAUGGUCUUAGCUUGCUAAGGCCGAUGGCGACCGGCGCACGGGUGAGUAACGCGUAUCCAACCUGCCUUACACUCUUGGACAGCCUUCUGAAAGGGAGAUUAAUACAAGAUGUUAUCAUGAGUAAGCAUUUUCGCAUGAUUAAAGGUUUACCGGUGUAAGAUGGGGAUGCGUUCCAUUAGAUAGUAGGCGGGGUAACGGCCCACCUAGUCUUCGAUGGAUAGGGGUUCUGAGAGGAAGGUCCCCCACAUUGGAACUGAGACACGGUCCAAACUCCUACGGGAGGCAGCAGUGAGGAAUAUUGGUCAAUGGACGAGAGUCUGAACCAGCCAAGUAGCGUGAAGGAUGAAGGUUCUAUGGAUUGUAAACUUCUUUUAUACGGGAAUAAACGGAUCCACGUGUGGAUUUUUGCAUGUACCGUAUGAAUAAGGAUCGGCUAACUCCGUGCCAGCAGCCGCGGUAAUACGGAGGAUCCGAGCGUUAUCCGGAUUUAUUGGGUUUAAAGGGAGCGUAGAUGGGUUGUUAAGUCAGUUGUGAAAGUUUGCGGCUCAACCGUAAAAUUGCAAUUGAUACUGGCAGUCUUGAGUACAGUUGAGGUAGGCGGAAUUCGUGGUGUAGCGGUGAAAUGCUUAGAUAUCACGAAGAACUCCGAUUGCGAAGGCAGCUUACUAACCUGUAACUGACAUUGAUGCUCGAAAGUGUGGGUAUCAAACAGGAUUAGAUACCCUGGUAGUCCACACGGUAAACGAUGAAUACUCGCUGUAGGCGAUAUACAGUCUGCGGCCAAGCGAAAGCAUUAAGUAUUCCACCUGGGGAGUACGCCGGCAACGGUGAAACUCAAAGGAAUUGACGGGGGCCCGCACAAGCGGAGGAACAUGUGGUUUAAUUCGAUGAUACGCGAGGAACCUUACCCGGGCUUAAAUUGCAACCGAAUAUGGCGGAAACGCUAUAGCUAGCAAUAGCGGUUGUGAAGGUGCUGCAUGGUUGUCGUCAGCUCGUGCCGUGAGGUGUCGGCUUAAGUGCCAUAACGAGCGCAACCCUUGCCGAUAGUUACUAACAGGUCAUGCUGAGGACUCUGUCGGGACUGCCAUCGUAAGAUGUGAGGAAGGUGGGGAUGACGUCAAAUCAGCACGGCCCUUACGUCCGGGGCUACACACGUGUUACAAUGGGGGGUACAGAGGGCUGCUACCACGCAAGUGGAUGCCAAUCCCAAAAACCUCUCUCAGUUCGGAUUGAAGUCUGCAACCCGACUUCAUGAAGCUGGAUUCGCUAGUAAUCGCGCAUCAGCCACGGCGCGGUGAAUACGUUCCCGGGCCUUGUACACACCGCCCGUCAAGCCAUGGGAGCCGGGGGUACCUGAAGUGCGUAACCGCAAGGAGCGCCCUAGGGUAAAACUGGUGACUGGGGCUAAGUCGUA
rnacentral:rRNA from 1 species